ACAGCUCAAUACUGAACAAUUCCAAAUAGAUACAUAUGAUCCGGACACACAGGAGGUUAUUUCCAAGGGAACAGCUAUCGUGGCGGACUGGAUAAAACCACUAUUGGAGAAAAAAUAAAAUUAGAAGAAAAAGGUUAUAAUGAGAACACUAACAAUUGCCUCAAGAUAAGAUUGACAAAAGGAUCCAAAUCCUUUGACCCAACCCCCUCCUGGGAACUCAAAUUCUUUUACACAAGAAAGGGUAAAAUGGUCUGCGAGUGGAAAUGGAAGUUACUGGGACCAGAACAUAAAAAUGACUAAUAUGGAAGUGUUUAAGAAGCUGCUGGAUUCUAUAGUGCCCAAGAAACAGCUCUCAUCAGACUGACAAAGAGCUACUUGGUUUGUGGAAGGCGUUUCAAGGGAGACUGGACAACAUCUUGUUGGGAAGGCUGUUACUCUGAAGAAGAAUCAAGAGAACCUAUUUUCUUUCUAGCUAUUUACAGCUUAGAAAAGUUGUGACACAAUUGGAGACACUGAUUAUUUUAUCAAGGCUUUGACUGGAAUGGCAUAUAUUCAAAUAUGACCAGAUUGAGGAAUUGAGGUCAAGUUUA
rnacentral:lncRNA from 1 species